AAAUAUUUUGCUCACAGAUCACUAUUAACAUUCUGUAUAUAAUUCUGUUUUAUUUUCUCUCCCCUUGUAUUUAUUUUUUAGCUGAAAAGAUGUAAAGGAAGCAGUCAGCCCAGUCGUGUUUGUGGAGAGGUAUUCCUUCAGAAAUGGAGAAGACAGAAAGCUGCAGAGGCAGGAUUGUUUGCAGAUAAUGCUGCUCUUCUUUUUCAGAAGUUUUUGGUGAGCCAACCCUCACACACCUUCCUAAAAACUAAAAGAGCUAUUACUGAGUCUCAGUGAAUCUUGCCAUGAUCAGCUCUUCCCAGAGAAGGAAGACCAAGGAAAUGAUUUGCUCAGGAUGAGGAAUGAAGACGGCCAUCUUGUGCUCAAACAAACAGAAGUCCACUGAUGGUCUCAUCAGCCAAAUGAGGGGUUUUGACCAAGUGAUGCUCUUGAAAGGAGUGAAAGAAGAGGAUGUGGUAAAUUGUCUUCAGAGAAAAGGCUUCUCAAAAGGUCUUAAAACAGCUUGAAGAAUGGUCUGGGAUCUUAGGACUGAGAGAUCCUCUGGCUGAGAACAUGCUACACCACAUCGGUGCUGGAUAUCAACCACAAACUGUUUCCAGACACGAGAGAAGAAGAUCACGAUGGGGAGAUGAAACCAGUUUAGAUGUGAUGAUAAGGAAUCAUUAUUUUCUGGAACAGUAUCACAUGUCUUAUAUGUAUCACAUGAUCUGUAUCACAGUUGACUGGAUGGGACUGUGUGACUUUUAAGGACAUUUCAUCACUCAUCUGUGUGAACUGAUUAAUAUAUGAGGUUAAUGUAUUUUUGAUGAUAAAUAAUUAUUUUCCUUGAAUCUUAUUUGUCUUGAUG